GAUGAACGCUGGCGGCGUGCCUAAUACAUGCAAGUCGAGCGAACAGACGAGGAGCUUGCUCCUCUGACGUUAGCGGCGGACGGGUGAGUAACACGUGGAUAACCUACCUAUAAGACUGGGAUGACUUCGGGAAACCGGAGCUAAUACCGGAUAACAUGUUGAACCGCAUGGUUCAACAGUGAAAGACGGUCUUGCUGUCACUUAUAGAUGGAUCCGCGCCGCAUUAGCUAGUUGGUAAGGUAACGGCUUACCAAGGCAACGAUGCGUAGCCGACCUGAGAGGGUGAUCGGCCACACUGGAACUGAGACACGGUCCAGACUCCUACGGGAGGCAGCAGUAGGGAAUCUUCCGCAAUGGGCGAAAGCCUGACGGAGCAACGCCGCGUGAGUGAAGAAGGUCUUCGGAUCGUAAAACUCUGUUAUUAGGGAAGAACAAAUGUGUAAGUAACUAUGCACGUCUUGACGGUACCUAAUCAGAAAGCCACGGCUAACUACGUG
rnacentral:rRNA from 1 species